rnacentral:rRNA from 1 species
GCAUAACGCGAAGAACCUUACCUACUCUUGACAUCCAGAGAACUUAGCAGAGAUGCUUUGGUGCCUUCGGGAACUCUGAGACAGGUGCUGCAUGGCUGUCGUCAGCUCGUGUUGUGAAAUGUUGGGUUAAGUCCCGCAACGAGCGCAACCCUUAUCCUUUGUUGCCAGCGGUUCGGCCGGGAACUCAAAGGAGACUGCCAGUGAUAAACUGGAGGAAGGUGGGGAUGACGUCAAGUCAUCAUGGCCCUUACGAGUAGGGCUACACACGUGCUACAAUGGCGCAUACGAAGAGAAGCGACCUCGCGAGAGCAAGCGGACCUCAUAAAGUGCGUCGUAGUCCGGAUUGGAGUCUGCAACUCGACUCCAUGAAGUCGGAAUCGCUAGUAAUCGUGGAUCAGAAUGCCACGGUGAAUACGUUCCC